rnacentral:rRNA from 1 species
AGAGCGGACGCUGGCGGCAGGCCUAAUACAUGCAAGUCGAGCGGCCACUUCGGUGGCAGCGGCGGACGGGUGAGUAACGCGUGGGAAUGUGCCCUUUGGUACGGAACAACUGAGGGAAACUUCAGCUAAUACCGCAUGUGCCCUUCGGGGGAAAGAUUUAUUGCCAUUGGAGCAGCCCGCGUUGGAUUAGCUAGUUGGUGGGGUAAAGGCCCACCAAGGCGACGAUCCAUAGCUGGUCUGAGAGGAUGAUCAGCCACACUGGGACUGAGACACGGCCCAGACUCCUACGGGAGGCAGCAGUAGGGAAUCUGCGCAAUGGGACGAAGCCUGGACGCAGCCAUCGCCGCGUAGAAUGAUGAGUCUUAGGAUUAGGUAAAUUCGUUUACGAACCGGGUAAUAUAAGUGAACCGGUUACCGGAGAACGAACGCCCGGUACUAACUUCG